rnacentral:rRNA from 1 species
GACGAACGUUGGCGGCGUGCCUAAUACAUGCAAGUUGAGCGCUGAAGGUUGGUACUUGUACCGACUGGAUGAGCAGCGAACGGGUGAGUAACGCGUGGGGAAUCUGCCUUUGAGCGGGGGACAACAUUUGGAAACGAAUGCUAAUACCGCAUAAAAACUUUAAACACAAGUUUUAAGUUUGAAAGAUGCAAUUGCAUCACUCAAAGAUGAUCCCGCGUUGUAUUAGCUAGUUGGUGAGGUAAAGGCUCACCAAGGCGAUGAUACAUAGCCGACCUGAGAGGGUGAUCGGCCACAUUGGGACUGAGACACGGCCCAAACUCCUACGGGAGGCAGCAGUAGGGAAUCUUCGGCAAUGGACGAAAGUCUGACCGAGCAACGCCGCGUGAGUGAAGAAGGUUUUCGGAUCGUAAAACUCUGUUGGUAGAGAAGAACGUUGGUGAGAGUGGAAAGCUCAUCAAGUGACGGUAACUACCCAGAAAGGGACGGCUAACUACGUGCCAGCAGCCGCGGUAAUACGUAGGUCCCGAGCGUUGUCCGGAUUUAUUGGGCGUAAAGCGAGCGCAGGUGGUUUAUUAAGUCUGGUGUAAAAGGCAGUGGCUCAACCAUUGUAUGCAUUGGAAACUGGUAGACUUGAGUGCAGGAGAGGAGAGUGGGAUUCCAUGUGUAGCGGUGAAAUGCGUAGAUAUAUGGAGGAACACCGGUGGCGAAAGCGGCUCUCUGGCCUGUAACUGACACUGAGGCUCGAAAGCGUGGGGAGCAAACAGGAUUAGAUACCCUGGUAGUCCACGCCGUAAACGAUGAGUGCUAGAUGUAGGGAGCUAUAAGUUCUCUGUAUCGCAGCUAACGCAAUAAGCACUCCGCCUGGGGAGUACGACCGCAAGGUUGAAACUCAAAGGAAUUGACGGGGGCCCGCACAAGCGGUGGAGCAUGGUGGUUUAAUUCGAAGCAACGCGAAGAACCUUACCAGGUCUUGACAUACUCGUGCUAUUCCUAGAGAUAGGAAGUUCCUUCGGGACACGGGAUACAGGUGGUGCAUGGUUGUCGUCAGCUCGUGUCGUGAGAUGUUGGGUUAAGUCCCGCAACGAGCGCAACCCCUAUUGUUAGUUGCCAUCAUUAAGUUGGGCACUCUAACGAGACUGCCGGUGAUAAACCGGAGGAAGGUGGGGGUGACGUCAAAUCAUCAUGCCCCUUAUGACCUGGGCUACACACGUGCUACAAUGGAUGGUACAACGAGUCGCGAGACAGUGAUGUUUAGCUAAUCUCUUAAAACCAUUCUCAGUUCGGAUUGUAGGCUGCAACUCGCCUACAUGAAGUCGGAAUCGCUAGUAAUCGCGGAUCAGCACGCCGCGGUGAAUACGUUCCCGGGCCUUGUACACACCGCCCGUCACACCACGGGAGUUGGGAGUACCCGAAGUAGGUUGCCUAACCGCAAGGAGGGCGCUUCCUAAGGUAAGACCGAUGACUGGGGUGAAGUCGUAACAAGGUAA